rnacentral:lncRNA from 1 species
GGAAAAGCUUGAAGUAUUUUAAUAUGUUCAGUUCCCCAUGAUAAUCUUAUAAAGGGCAUAUGCUUUGCAGUGUCAGUUCUUCCUGCUGGCUCUCUUCCCAGAGAUGUGGACAUUCCCAAGAUGUUCUCUCUCCAGUGGCAGCAGAAGGGGCUGCCCUAUGACCGACAGACAUGACUGUUCUCAAAGCAACAUGCUUUGCAGGCUCUGUGGAUUAUCAUCUGUACCACAUGAAAAGCUGUGUCCUCUCAGGAGCCCUACUUCUAUUUGCACUUUUCCUCUGUAUUUGCAUAUUACUUUUUCACAGUUUGUUUCAAGAACAAGUAUUUUAUCACAUUCUUUUUUGUCUAGCAGUUCAUUUCUUUCAAUUAAUAUUAUUUUGUUACACAAGUAAUUCAUGUUCACUACAGAAAAUAGUAAGCCAUACAUGUAAGAAAGUAAAACUCAUUCUUAAGUCUACCAUCUAG